GUAAACUGGAGGAAGAUUUUCUAUACAUGGCUUAUGCAGAUAUUAUGGCAAAGAGUUGUCACGAUGAAGAAGACGAUGAUGGUGAAGAAGAAGUAAAGAGCUUUGAGGUCACAGGAUCCCAAUGCAGCAAGG